rnacentral:lncRNA from 1 species
GAAAUGAAGGAGGAAAUCUCUUUAUAAAGGUUUCUAAAGAAAUUAAAAAAAUUAACUUGUACAUUGACUUUGUAAUGGAAGUGAGAACAUACAGGAAAGCCCUUUGGGGAGUUAGCUUUAGAAGGGAAAUACCGGGAAAUACAAGUAAGACAAGGCACUUACAGAAAAAGUAGAAAUUUCAUGUUUAAUAAAUGGUCAAAUUUAACAUAGCUCUGAAUAUAUAAUUUUCCAUUAGAAUAUUGGUAACAACAUUGCAGUAAACUUGAGUCUGGGUACCCCGCACUGAGUAAAAAUGGUAGAUUCUAUUUUGUGUGAGUUCAGUCAAAGAGACAUGGGGGACAAUUAGUCCGGUCUCUGCUUCUGUUGUUUAGCAGAGCCUCCAGCCCGGAAGCACACUGAGAUGUCUUGUGUUUUUCAGAUCUUUAAUUUUUGAAUGCUGUACUGUACCCAAGGACCUCGCUUUUUUUCACUGUGCAUAUGCAUGAUGUGGGACAUCCCAUAUUGGAGACACAGAUGACUUAUUGAAAGCCCUGCCUAAGACUUAAUUAAUAUCAGCAUUUCAAGUAGCUUGCAAGAUUGGAUUCUGUGGCUAUAUACUAUAGGAAUAUAGACUUCCUGGUCUUUUUCUUACUGCCUCCAAAUAUAACCAGAUAAUCCUCUGUCUGGUUUCUUGGGAGCCACUUGUAUCUUACUUUCUUGCAGGAACAUUCUAAAGGGUUCCUUCAGAAAACUUGGGAAAGUGUAAGACUAAAGACAAACCACAGCCUGAAGCCUAGGCUGCUGACUUGAGCACAGAUGGGAGAAUGUUAACAGCCAAGAAAUAUGAGGUCUUUGGCUCUUUUCCCAGAACUGCCAGGCUAAGACCUUGGCAGAGACUCAACAGGAAACUGAACUCUAUUUGCAUAUCCUUUUAUACAUGGGAGAUUAAAAGCUUCAACCUUGAGUGAUCACAGUUUUUGAGAAUCAUGAUGAGGCAUUAAAGAAGAGGAGGAGUGUCUCAAGGGAGGUGAGCUGGAGGUGAUGCAAGCCUCAGACUCAGGGCUGGGACCCUUGGGACUCAAAAGAGAGAAAAGGUGGAGAAAAGAGAAAGCUACUAUUUUCUUCAUUUUGCCCCUGCUAACAUCCAAUGCACUUAGGAGCCUCGAUGUCUGCUCUCCAAGAGUGGAGAGAGGAUGCCAGACAGAUAUUUGAGCAGAACAAAGAGAGCCAACAGGAUGAAGGCAUUCCCUGGCUGGUUGGACAAGCAACUGAAGAACAGGAACAGAAGUGAAUGAAAAGAGAAGAUGCUGUGUUUGUGUUUUCUCUUGGUUAGAAUGCUGUGAGUCAGGACCUUAGCUGCUGGGUGUCCUGGGACUGCCUUCGAUGAAGAACCUGAGGCUCACCUUGCUUAAGUGACUUGAGCAGCUUCACGCAUCUUGUAAGUAGUAGAGACAGAGUCAAAACCAGAUCUUCCUGCCCUCUCUAUCAUAUAAACCACUUACACUGAAUUACAAAGUGAAACUGAUCUAUGGUGAAUUGUACUAAUGUUCUGCUUCUGCCAUGGGCACCAGAGGAGAUACCUUUCUUUGUUGACACUAAUCUCAAAGGCUAAAUUAGAUCCCCCAAACUCAUUUCCAUUAAUAACAUGUCAAAGGCUUGUGUCAUGCGUUAAUUUAUCCAAAGUGAUCUUGAUUCUAUUUACAUUUUGGUGCCACCUUUUAAUGUCACCAUUUUUAUAAAUUAAAUAUGUAAUAUAUAAAGCCAGUCUUCACUUACUGAUAUGUUAAUUUUUAACCCAAACUUCUUAGUCUGACAUUCCAGCAAUACCGGAGCAUUGACAGUUGAUAAUAGCUCUAUGUGCUACCUCUCCAAGAAACAAAUUUGCAUUUUAACCUGCCCCUUCAAUGGCUGAACUUCAAAGGGUCACUGAUGAAUGCCACAGCAGAGAAAACUGCAAAUUGGAACAGCAGAGCUGUGCCUCUGGCCAUUUCCUGGAACUACAGAGGAGCAACUUGCCCCGGUUUCCAGUGGGUGAUGUUCCUCUUCUGCCACAGUCCCUGGCGAUGUUGAUGUGAUUGCCAUCAGAGCUCAGAAGCACAGAGCAGAAUCAUCCCCUGGAGGAGGAUUCCCUUCAGUUUGGUGAACAAGCUAAAGGAAUCGUAGAUUGUUUUUACUCCUGCCACAUGGUGGAGCUACUUCAGCUUUAAUGGAAAGAACCAGCCAUUGUUAGUAUGGAAAUUGAUUGCCUCUUCAUUUCACAACACACCACAUGGAUCCUCUACACUGGUGGACCAGGAAAUCGCAACUACUUUAGACACCUUGGUAAGACCCAUAGAGGCAAGAGGUUGUGAAAUAAAUCCCAGAAAAAUUUAGAAGUUUGCUCCUUCAGGAACUUUCUUGGGGUUUCAUGGUCUGGGGAAAGUUGAGAUAUCUCUUUCAAGGUGAAGUUCAAUGCUACAUCUGGUCUCUCCUACCAUAAAGAAAGAGUCCCAAUUUCUGGUGUGCCUCAUUGGAUUUUGGAGGCAACAUAUCUUAUUUGGGUGUGUUGUUAUAGUCUAAACCUAUUUGCUGAAUGAGUAAUCUGAAAGGCUUCCAGUUUUGAAUAAGGCCUGGCGAAAGACAAGCCCUUGUGAGAGGGUGGCAAGCUUCCCUGCCACUUUGGUCAUAUGACACAUCUGAUUCAGUGGUGCUUAAAGUGCCUAUUGAGCUUUUGGCAGGCCUCUUAGGUAAAUUCCAGAACAGACUUUUAGAAUCUGGGAGCAAAGCCAUGCCAUACUCUGCAGAUAACUUUUUUUUUCUUUUUUCUUUUUUUUUCUUUUUCUUUUUCUUUUUUUUUUUUUUUUUUUUUGAGAAACAGCUCUUGGCUCUUUGCUGGAUCCUAGUAUUUGACCAUGGACCAUUAAGUAUCAUGUGACCAGAAAUGCCCCCUAUGAAAUGAGUAUUGCUUAACCCACCACCAUGUUCUGUUGGUUAUAAUCAAGUCACAGAGCCAGUCCAGAUCAAGGGGAAGGAAUUAUGCAAAAUUCCGAAUACUGAGAGACAUAGUUCAUUGGAAGACCAUCUUUGGAAACCAGCAGCUAUCACAGUUUCCUUGGAUAUUUUCUGAAUAGAGAGAUUCUUACAUUAAUAACUGUUCUCUUCACCAAUAAAUAUUUAUGGAGAACAUACAGUAUGUGCAGAACCUGAACAUAAGUGGAAGAAACAGGGAAAGCAUUGCACCUUCCUCAAAGUUUGUGCAUUCUACCAUGAAAUAUUCACACUAACAUUGAAGCUAAGAGUAGGCUGGAAAUCCCAGAAGUGAAAAUUAAUAUACUGGUACUGAUGGUCAAUGGGUGUAUUAUAGCUCUCUGUGGUGAAAUAAAUAGAUUGAUAAUGGGCUUCUGUAUAUAGUUGUAUCAACAAUAAAACGAUGGAAUGCUUUCUAGCUCAAGAUUUUUACAACCCAAUGAUCCUUAAUCUGGUAACUCAUUCCUCAUAAGACUCAUUCCUCAUAAGACCUGCUUACCUCAAAGAAUUGUUUAUGAGGAUACGUUAAAAUAAGUAUCAGAAAGGACCUUGUAAACUAUAAACAAUGGUACAAAUGUAAGAGACAGUUAUUGCAUUUUCAAAAAGAACUCAUAAUAGGCGUGAUGUAAAUAUUUGUUGAAUAAAUGAAUGAGAAAAUAAAAUAAAUUCUUGAGACAAAUUUAA